rnacentral:rRNA from 1 species
AACGCGAAGAACCUUACCUGGGCUCGAAAUGUACAGGACAGCGGUAGAAAUACCGUCUCCCAGCAAUGGGUCUGUAUAUAGGUGCUGCAUGGCUGUCGUCAGCUCGUGUCGUGAGAUGUUGGGUUAAGUCCCGCAACGAGCGCAACCCUUAUCUCCAGUUGCUACCAUUUAGUUGAGCACUCUGGCGAAACCGCCUCGGAUAACGGGGAGGAAGGUGGGGAUGACGUCAAGUCCUCAUGGCCUUUAUGUCCAGGGCUACACACGUGCUACAAUGGCCGGUACAAACCGCUGCAACCCCGCGAGGGUGAGCUAAUCGGAAAAAGCCGGCCUCAGUUCGGAUUGGAGUCUGCAACUCGACUCCAUGAAGCUGGAAUCGCUAGUAAUCGUGGAUCAGCAUGCCACGGUGAAUACGUUCCCGGGCCUUGUA